rnacentral:lncRNA from 1 species
CACUUACCAAACUUUUGCUGAUUACCUCAAAAAGAAGGUGUAAACUAUCUGUUGUUUACCUUCACACUUACCAAACUUUUGCUGAUUACCUCAAAAAGAAGGUGUAAACUAUCUGUUGUUUACCUUCACACUUACCAAACUUUUGCUGAAUACCUCAAAAAGAAGGUGUAAACUAUCUGUCUUUAACCGUCACACUUACCAAACUUUUGCUGAUUACCUCAAAAAGAAGGUGUAAACUAUCUGUCUUUAACCGUCACAC